GCAAGUCGAACGGACCGUACACGUAGCUUGCUGCGUGUAUGGUUAGUGGCAGACGGGUGAGUAAUGCAUAGGAAUCUGCCUAGUAGUAUAGGAUAGCCACUAGAAGUGGUGGGUAAUACUGUAUAAUCCCUGCGGGGGAAAGAUUUAUCGCUACAUGAUGAGCCUAUGUUAGAUUAGCUAGUUGGUGGGGUAAUGGCCUACCAAGGCAGUGAUCUAUAGCUGGUCUGAGAGGAUGAUCAGCCACACUGGAACUGAGACACGGUCCAGACUCCUACGGGAGGCAGCAGUGGGGAAUAUUGGACAAUGGGCGCAAGCCUGAUCCAGCUAUGCCGCGUGAGUGAGGAAGGCCUUAGGGUUGUAAAACUCUUUCAGUGGGGAAGAUAAUGACGGUACCCACAGAAGAAGUCCCGGCAAACUC
rnacentral:rRNA from 1 species